AACGAACGCUGGCGGCAUGCCUAACACAUGCAAGUCGAACGAGACCUUCGGGUCUAGUGGCGCACGGGUGCGUACCGCGUGGGAACCUGCCCUUAGGUUCGGAAUAACUCCCCGAAAGGGGUGCUAAUACCGGAUCAUGUCUUCGGACCAAAGAUUUAUCGCCUUUGGAUGGGCCCGCGUUGGAUUAGCUAGUUGGUAGGGUAAAAGCCUACCAAGGCGACGAUCCAUAGCUGGUCUGAGAGGAUGAUCAGCCACACUGGGACUGAGACACGGCCCAGACUCCUACGGGAAGCAGCAGUGGGGAAUAUUGGACAAGGGGCGAAAGCCUGAUCCAGCAAUGCCGCGUGAGUGAUGAAGGCCUUAGGGUUGUAAAGCUCUUUUACCCGGGAUGAUAAUGACAGUACCGGGAGAAUAAGCUCCGGCUAACUCCGUG
rnacentral:rRNA from 1 species